GUGCCAGCCCGCGGUAAUACCGGCAGCCCGAGUGAUGGCCGAUCUUAUUGGGCCUAAAGCGUCCGUAGCUGGCCGCGCAAGUCCGUCGGGAAAUCCAUCAGCCCAACUGAUGGGCGUCCGGCGGAAGCUGUGUGGCUUGGAACCGGAAGGCUCAGAGGGUACGUCCGGGGUAGGAGUGAAAUCCCGUAAUCCCGGACGGACUACCGAUGGCGAAAGCACUCUGAGAAGACGGCCUCGACAGUGAGGGACGAAAGCUCGGGUCUCAAACCGGAUUAGAAACCCGUGUAGUCC
rnacentral:rRNA from 1 species